UCCGAAUUAGUUUAGUGGCUAUGACGGCGCCUUGUCAUCACACUGGUGCGUACACGUUCUGGUGGGCUUCGGCGCAGACCCGGGUUCAAUUCCCGGAUUUGGAG